rnacentral:lncRNA from 1 species
CUGGAACUCACUCUGUAGACCAGGCUGGCCUCAAUCUCACAGAGAUCCACCUGCCUCUGCUUCCUGAGUGCUAGGAUUAAAUGCUCACACCACCACACCCAUCCUGAGUGCUGGGAUUAAGUGCUCACACCACCACAUCUAUCCUGUAGCAAAGCUUUCCUCUGAUUCAUCCGAGCAGAUGUUUUCUUCUGGGCAGAGUGCAGACACUCACGGCAUUACUGACAGCAUUAGUAAAGCACACGGCCUUCUGGACAACAGCAACAAAGCCCAACAGCGGCUUCCACCUGGGAAGAGGAGGAACAGAAACCUUGAGAAGGGCUUGGGGAUGGGAGUAAGGAGAAGACCCAGGUCCUGUAGAGUCCCUUCCAGGUCCCUGCUCCCAUGCCUUGUCUGCCACCGGAGUCCCUUUGGUCACUUGACUCUAGAAUUAUAUAGAACUUUUUUUUUUCUAUUUUUGACGGGGUCUUGUUCUUCAGCUAGGUUGACUUUGAACUCUCUGUACGUGUAGGUAGGCCAUACUGGCCUGGAAUUCCAAGUCUUUCUACCUCAGGCUCCCCAGCGAUGACAUCAUCCCAGGCACGCUGUGCUCAGCACAAGGGCGUUUCAUCAGUUGUUCCUUACACCUUGUGCUGAGGGCUCAGAGUUUCAGGAACACCGUUGCCUUGUGUGCCAUGGUGUCUACUGCAGUUUGGAGCCUAGAGAAGAAGAGGAGGGAGAGGAGCACUGGGAAAGGAGGCCAACAUGCAGAGCCCAGCUCAGGGCACUUGCUGGAGAGCAAGCGAAGCCAAUGUCAAGGCUACAACAAUGGCUUCAGUUUCCUGCAGGCAACAGCGAGUGACCCAAGGCUUUUGACAAAGCAGUCUGUGCUUCAAGAAAGUUCUCCUGGGCCAGAUGCUGGGUUCAGAUGGCCGAGACUGAAUUGGGUGGGGCAAUUAGAUAAAGGGGCUCCCUAACUAGGCAGUUCACAGGGCUACUUUUUUUGUCGUUUUGUUUUGUUUCUGAGACGGGGUUCCAUGGAACUCUGGCUGUCAUGGAACUUGCUCUGUAGACUAGGCUGGCCUUGAACUCAGAGAUCUGACUGCUUCUACCUAGGAUUAAAGGUAUGCACCACCACCACCAGAUGCUCACGGGGCUUUUAAAGAUCCAGAUCAUGGGGCAGGGGAGAGGUAGCUCAGCUGGCAAAGUGUUUGCUGAGAGCAAGCAUGGGGAGCCCUGGGGAGUCUGAUUUCUAAUAUCCAUGUGAGAAAAGCCAGGUGUGUUGGUUGGUGGAUGCUUAUAAAGCGUAGGGAGGUAGAGUUAAGAGGAUCCCUGGGGCUCCUGGCCUAACCAGCGGACCCAGAGAGAGAAGCUAUCACAAAAACACAAGGUGGGUGGUUCCUAAGAAUGACACCCCCCCACACACACAGGUACACACAUGCAUGUGCACCUGCAUGCACUAAUGUGUGCCCUGAUGUCAGUACAUGCACACACACACACACACACUCACACGUUUGAGACAAGGUCUCACAAUGUUGCCUUGGCUGACCUGGAACUUGCUUUGUGGUCUCUAACUCAUGCAGACCAGGUUAGUCCUAACUAAUAGAGCUCUGUCUGUGUCUCCCGAGGUGCAUACCACCACAUCUGCCUGGUGCUCCUUUGAGAUUUUCUUACAGGUGGUCUGGAGGUGAGACUAGGAAUCUGCAUUUUUGAAACAUCUCAUUUCAAAUACAGGGACUGACUCUGGAAGGGAAAACGGGUGCCUUUCCUGUGCGAGGAGGACUUGAAGAGAAAUGACAAUCCCUUGCUGCUGCAUGUAAUUGGUGAGAAGCACACAGACCUGGAAUUAUAAUUAUGACGUUUUAAAUGCCAAGCUCUUCAGAAGUCUGACUUUGCCCUUGCUGUCACCCUGAACCCAAACCCUGCCUCCCACACCCUGAGCAUGCCCCCGAGUCUCUCGGCCAAGCUUCACCUGGGAAAUCUGAGUGACAGGUGACAUGCAGGCAGCUGGAAGACGCACAGUAAACGGAGCCUACGAUGAGCUCAGAAGAGAAUCCACAGGGCAGCUCAGAACCAUCCACAGUUCCAGGUGACUGCUGACCUCCACAGGCAGGAGGAUCUCUGAAUUCAAGGCCAGCCUGGACAAUAAGCAACCCUCCCCCCCCCCCAAAAAAAAAACCCAAAAAUUAAAAAGAAAGAAAAAAUAAAAAAUAGACUUGAACAACUAGACUUUUGAGUAUUUAUAAUUUUUGUUGAUUGUAUCUACAAGGUGAAAGUAAAUUCUUUUUUUUCCUUUUCACUCUUGUUGUUGUUGUUG